UACGAAGGGGGCUAGCGUUGCUCGGAAUCACUGGGCGUAAAGCGCACGUAGGCGGAUCUUUAAGUCAGGGGUGAAAUCCUGGAGCUCAACUCCAGAACUGCCUUUGAUACUGGGGAUCUCGAGUCCGGGAGAGGUGAGUGGAACUGCGAGUGUAGAGGUGAAAUUCGUAGAUAUUCGCAAGAACACCAGUGGCGAAGGCGGCUCACUGGCCCGGUACUGACGCUGAGGUGCGAAAGCGUGGGGAGCAAACAGGAU
rnacentral:rRNA from 1 species